rnacentral:rRNA from 1 species
GUUGAACGCUGGCGGCGGGCCUAAUACAUGCAAGUCGAGCGGACAGAGGAAGAGGUUUCCUGUCUUGCGUUAGCGGCGCGCAGGGGAGUAACACGUCGAUAACCCACCUAUAUGACUGGGAUAACCUCCUGAAACCGGAGCUAAUACCGGCUAAACUACUCAACCGCAUGGUUCAGUAGUUAAGGGCGGCUUUGCUGUCACUUAUAGAUGGUUCCGCGCGGGAUUAGCUAGUUGGUAAGGUAACGGCUUACCAAGGCAACGAUGCGUAGCCGACCUGAGAGGAUGAUCGGCCACACUGGAACUGAGACACGGUCCAGACUCCUACGGGAGGCAGCAGUAGGGAAUAUUGCACAAUGGGCGAAAGCCUGACGGAGCCACGCCGCGUGAGUGAUGAAGGUCUUCGGAUCGUAAAGCUCUUUUAUUAGGGAGGAACGGAGUAGUAAGUAAACCUGCACGCAUUGACGUUACCCAAAGAGGAAGCCACGGCUAACUACGUG